rnacentral:miRNA from 1 species
ACCACUGUAGACGCUACGUGUGAG